rnacentral:lncRNA from 1 species
GUAAGACGAUGCUACUGAGGUCGAGCUCCGGAUAUAAAUUUCGGACGGCUUCCGGAGCAUCCUCAUACCUCACUCGGUACGAAAGGAAGCCGCUCUCCAGAAGGUCUUCCCGGUACUCCUCGGAGUCGCGGAAGUCCUCCACGGCCGGACUCAUGGCUUCCUUCACCGACUCUGCCUCCGCCCUAGCGAUGUCCGCUUCGGCC